rnacentral:rRNA from 1 species
UACGGAGGGGGGCUAGCGUUGUUCGGAAUUACUGGGCGUAAAGCGCACGUAGGCGGCUUUGCAAGUUAGAGGUGAAAGCCCGGGGCUCAACUCCGGAAUUGCCUUUAAAACUGCAUCGCUAGAAUUGUGGAGAGGUAAGUGGAAUUCCGAGUGUAGAGGUGAAAUUCGUAGAUAUUCGGAAGAACAUCAGUGGCGAAGGCGACUUACUGGACACAUAUUGACGCUGAGGUGCGAAAGCGUGGGGAGCAAACAGG